rnacentral:rRNA from 1 species
GUUUGAUCAUGGCUCAGAUUGAACGCUGGCGGCAGGCUUAACACAUGCAAGUCGAGCGGUAACAGGGGGUGCUUGCACCCCGCUGACGAGCGGCGGACGGGUGAGUAAUGCAUAGGAAACUGCCCAGUAGUGGGGGAUAGCCCGGGGAAACCCGGAUUAAUACCGCGUACGCCCUUCGGGGGAAAGCAGGGGAUCUUCGGACCUUGCGCUAUUGGAUGUGCCUAUGUCGGAUUAGCUAGUUGGUGGGGUAAAGGCCUACCAAGGCGACGAUCUGUAGCGGGUCUGAGAGGAUGAUCCGCCACACUGGGACUGAGACACGGCCCAGACUCCUACG